rnacentral:lncRNA from 1 species
GGCCUUGUGUGGUUGGGGGCGCGCGUCGGACGCGGCGGCGCGUGCGGCAGAUACAGCUGCGCUUGCAGCUACUGAGGGCGGCGGAAACAGAGCCGACUGCCGCACAGCCUGGUAUAGACUUCGGAGCUCUCUAUCCUCAGGAUGACGGAGUCGCGUCAAUCUCUGGCCGUGUCUGAGCCAGCUUCAGAGACAGCAGGCGGGAACCUACUCCACGGAAGCAAAGCUCGACGGCGGCGAAGGCUCUUACGAAACCUGACGUUUCUGCUGCUGGGGCUGCUGGUGCUGGUGCUGCUGGCAGUCGUGAUC